AUUGAACGCUGGCGGCAGGCCUAACACAUGCAAGUAGAACGAGUGGCGGACGGGUGAGUAAUGUCUGGGAAACUGCCCGAUGGAGGGGGAGAACUACUGGAAACGGUAGCUAAUACCGCAUACCAUCGGAUGUGACCCGAUGGGAUUAGCUUGUGGUUGAGGUAACGGCUCACCUAGGCGACGAUCCCUAGCUGGUCUGCGAGGAUGAUCAGCCAGACUGGAACUGAGCCACGGUCCAGACUCCUACGGGAGGCAGCAGUGGGGAAUAUUGGACAAUGGGCGCAAGCCUGAUCCAGCCAUACCGCGUGUGUGAAGAAGGCCUUCGGGUUGUAAAGCCCUUUCGUUGGGAAAGCGGUACCCAAAGAAUAAGCACCGGCUAACUUCGUGCCAGCAGCCGCGGUAAUAC
rnacentral:rRNA from 1 species